rnacentral:lncRNA from 1 species
CUUCGUAUAGUCUCUCGUUUGCAUGUCAAUUAAGGUAGCACGGUUCCUUCGUCUAAGACUUCCUUUUUGCAUGAGCAUUCCUAAAACACAAACAAACUCAUUGAUUUUUCUUCUCCUCAGAACACGUUAACUCCUUCUACUACAGGUGAGUAAGUCUCCAAAGGUCGAGCAUCCGGUAGAUUGCGUAGUAACGUCGUUCACCUAAAAAA